GAUGAACGCUGGCGGCGUGCCUAAUACAUGCAAGUCGAGCGAACGGACGAGAAGCUUGCUUCUCUGAUGUUAGCGGCGGACGGGUGAGUAACACGUGGAUAACCUACCUAUAAGACUGGGAUAACUUCGGGAAACCGGAGCUAAUACCGGAUGAUAUUUUGAACCGCAUGGUUCAAAAGUGAAAGACGGUCUUGCUGUCACUUAUAGAUGGAUCCGCGCUGCAUUAGCUAGUUGGUAAGGUAACGGCUUACCAAGGCAACGAUGCAUAGCCGACCUGAGAGGGUGAUCGGCCACACUGGAACUGAGACACGGUCCAGACUCCUACGGGAGGCAGCAGUAGGGAAUCUUCCGCAAUGGGCGAAAGCCUGACGGAGCAACGCCGCGUGAGUGAUGAAGGUCUUCGGAUCGUAAAACGCUGUUAUUAGGGAAGAACAUAUGUGUAAGUAACUGUGCACAUCUUGACGGUACCUAAUCAGAAAGCCACGGCUAACUACGUG
rnacentral:rRNA from 1 species